rnacentral:rRNA from 1 species
UACAGCGGUCCCGAGCGGUGUUCGGAUUCAUUGGGCGUAAAGGGUGCGUAGGCGGCGCGGGUAGUCAUCGGUGAAAGUUCAGGGCUCAACUCUGAAUCGGCCGGUGAUACUCCCGUGCUCGAGCACUGUAGAGGCAGGUGGAAUUCCGGGUGUAGCGGUGGAAUGCGUAGAGAUCCGGAAGAACACCGGUGGCGAAGGCGGCCUGCUGGGCAGUAGCUGACGCUGAUGCGCGACAGCGUGGGGAGCAAACAGG